rnacentral:rRNA from 1 species
AGGGCACCACCAGGAGUGGAGCCUGCGGCUUAAUUUGACUCAACACGGGAAAACUCACCCGGCCCGGACACCGUGAGGAUUGACAGAUUGAUAGCUUUUUCAUGAUUCGGUGGUUGGUGGUGCAUGGCCGUUCUUAGUUCGUGGAUCGAUUUGUCUGGUUUAUUCCGAUAACGAGCGAGACUCCAGCCUACUAAAUAGUGCGGGCGUUGCCUUUGCGCCCUUGCACUUCUUAGAGGGAUUGGCUGCGUCUGGCGGCACGAAACGGAGCAAUAACAGGUCUGUGAUGCCCUUGGAUGUCCGGGGCUGCACGCGCGCUACACUGGCAAAGGCAGCGUGCUUGUCCUGCGCCGAAAGGCGUGGGUAAACCAUUGAAAAUUUGCCAUGAUUGGGAUCGGAAAUUGCAAUUAUUUUCCGUGAACGAGGAAUUCCUAGUAAGUGCGAGUCAUCAGCUCGCGUUGAUUACGUCCCUGCCCUUUGUACACACCGCCCGUCGCUGCCUAGAACUGAGCCAUUUCGAGA